rnacentral:tRNA from 1 species
UCCCUGGUGGCUCAGAUGGUAAAGCAUCUGCCUGCAAUACAGGAGACCUGGGUUCGAUCCCUGGGUUGGGAA